CCUAUGCGAUGAUGGCACUUAAACAUCUUUCGUAACUCUGCACGAAAACGAUCAUGUAACCAUGCGUAGAGGAAAGGGUUACAGCAUGAGGAGCUCAUGGCACACAGGUGGCAGAGCAGCUGAAUCAGUAAGAAGUAGCGCUUGUUAAUGAGGUGAAUGUCUACGUCUCGCAGCACGUUGAACACAUGAAUGGGAAGCCAACACACUGCGAACGCAGUCACCAACAGUGCCACAAGGCGGAAUAUCUUCCUCUUACGAGCUUGUUGAACCCCUGCUUGGUCUUUGGUCCUGUUUCCUGGUGCAACACACUUCUUCAGUUUGACGGUGAUACAGAGAACUCCUCGCAAAUGGUGAAGCCUUCAUCUUUGAACUCCACAUGGUAGGUGUGGGUGAUGGCUGGAGCUACGAGCCCGCAGGACAGCAGCCAGAUGCCUAUCAGGAUGGAGGCACAGGUGGCCACAGAGAUAAUAUGGUCGGAGGCCCACAGCGCUCUCAAUGCUAUCCCGGUCUGCCCGGACAGUCUGGAAGCCGCCAAUGGAGACGUUGUGGUCGGGAAUAUCCAGAUGCAGCCACGUUUCUGUGAAGCACAACAUGCUACAUUCCCGAAACAUCAUCUGACUCCUGGCUAUUCCUGUAUAAAACAGCAGCCAACAAUUCAGAUAAUGAACCCUUACCCUGAAAUUGGCUGACUGCUUACAAAUAAGUAUUUAAAGUGUUUGAUGAUACAGCAGGAAAGGCAACAAACCUAACUUUGUUAAAAUAAAAUCAUAUUUGAUGAACUACCAGCAACAGUCAUACUUAACACCUACUGCUAGCAUUAAACAAUGAAGUAGCUGUUGCCAAGAAAGUGUCUGCAUGCUAGCGCUCUUUAUGAAAGUGUUUUAUAAAAUGUUAAGAAAGGCCUUCAUAUACUAUAUAAGUAAAGAUGAGGUGCUAAGAGUAGCUGGGUUUUUUUGUUCUGGCUUUUACCAAAUUGUCUGUUGAAAACGAAAUGUUAACUGUGCUAGCUUAGUGGCUGAAUGCUAACUGUUGUCUCACUGUAUCUGGUUGUGCCCUACUAGUUUUUCAGUAUCCGUUGUAAAUAUAAGUUGCUGAUCAAUAUGGAAGUCAUGAGGCUUUAAUAAUUUGUCAGAUUUCCA